UUGUCUCAAAGAUUAAGCCAUGCAUGUCUCAGUACAAGCCAAAUUAAGGUGAAACCGCGAAAGGCUCAUUAAAUCAGUUAUGGUUCCUUAGAUCGUACCAACAUUUACUUGGAUAACUGUGGUAAUUCUAGAGCUAAUACAUGCAAAUAGAGCCUCGACCGGAGACGGAAGAGGCGCUUUUAUUAGAUCAAAACCGAUCGGCGGCGCGGCAGCAUUAGCGGUCACGUCGUCGUUCUCGCUGACGAAUCUGAAUAACUUACUGCCGAUCGCACGGUCUCGCACCGGCGACGCAUCUUUCAAAUGUCUGCCUUAUCAACUGUCGAUGGUAGGCUCUGUGCCUACCAUGGUUGUAACGGGUAACGGGGAAUCAGGGUUCGAUUCCGGAGAGGGAGCCUGAGAAACGGCUACCACAUCCAAGGAAGGCAGCAGGCGCGCAAAUUACCCACUCCCGGCACGGGGAGGUAGUGACGAAAAAUAACGAUACGGGACUCAUCCGAGGCCCCGUAAUCGGAAUGAGAACAAUUUAAAUCCUUUAGCGAGGAUCAAUUGGAGGGCAAGUCUGGUGCCAGCAGCCGCGGUAAUUCCAGCUCCAAUAGCGUAUAUUAAAGUUGUUGCGGUUAAAAAGCUCGUAGUCGAAUCUGUGUCCCGCCCCGCCGGUUCGUCGCUCGCGGCGUUCAACUGGCGUGUCGGCGGGACGUCCUGCCGGUGGGCUUAGCCUUUUUGCGAGGGCGGCCCAAUCUUAAUCCCGCCGCGGUGCUCUUCGCCGAGUGUCGAGGUGGGCCGGCACGUUUACUUUGAACAAAUUAGAGUGCUUAAAGCAGGCUAAAAUUUCGCCUGAAUACUUAGUGCAUGGAAUAAUGGAAUAGGACCUCGGUUCUAUUUUGUUGGUUUUCGGAACUCCGAGGUAAUGAUUAAUAGGAACGGAUGGGGGCAUUCGUAUUGCGACGUUAGAGGUGAAAUUCUUGGAUCGUCGCAAGACGGACAGAAGCGAAAGCAUUUGCCAAAAACGUUUUCAUUGAUCAAGAACGAAAGUUAGAGGUUCGAAGGCGAUCAGAUACCGCCCUAGUUCUAACCAUAAACGAUGCCAGCUAGCGAUCCGCCGACGUUCCUCCGAUGACUCGGCGGGCAGCUUCCGGGAAACCAAAGCUUUUGGGUUCCGGGGGAAGUAUGGUUGCAAAGCUGAAACUUAAAGGAAUUGACGGAAGGGCACCACCAGGAGUGGAGCCUGCGGCUUAAUUUGACUCAACACGGGAAACCUCACCAGGCCCGGACACCGGAAGGAUUGACAGAUUGAGAGCUCUUUCUUGAUUCGGUGGGUGGUGGUGCAUGGCCGUUCUUAGUUGGUGGAGCGAUUUGUCUGGUUAAUUCCGAUAACGAACGAGACUCUGUCCUGCUAACUAGGCGGAAAUUAUUACCGACAUCUCGAAGGCCCGCCGGCUAUCGGGCGUUCGCGCGCCCUUAGUCGCGCGCGGUUUUUACUGUCGGCGUACAAACAAUUCUUCUUAGAGGGACAGGCGGCUCCUAGCCGCACGAGAUAGAGCAAUAACAGGUCUGUGAUGCCCUUAGAUGUUCUGGGCCGCACGCGCGCUACACUGAAGGGAUCAGCGUGUCCUCCCUCGCCGAGAGGCGCGGGUAACCCGCUGAACCCCCUUCGUGCUAGGGAUUGGGGCUUGAAAUUGUUCCCCAUGAACGAGGAAUUCCCAGUAAGCGCGAGUCAUAAGCUCGCGUUGAUUACGUCCCUGCCCUUUGUACACACCGCCCGUCGCUACUACCGAUUGAAUGAUUUAGUGAGGUCUUCGGACCGGCACGCGGCGGCGUUUCGACGUCGCCGACGUUUGCUGGAAAGAUGACCGAACUUGAUCAUUU
rnacentral:rRNA from 1 species